GGUUCUAUAGUGUAGCGGUAAGCACGCUGGAUUUUGAUACAAAAGUUCCAGAGACCCCGGUUCGAACCCGGGUAGGACCU